AAUGAACGCUGGCGGCGUGCCUAACACAUGCAAGUCGAGCGAGAAAGUUCCUUCGGGAACAAGUACAGCGGCGGACGGGUGAGUAACACGUGAGAAUCUACCCUUUAGUGAAGAAUACCUUUGAGAAAUCAAAGUUAAUACUGCAUAAGUCCCUUCGGGGAGAAAGAUGGCCUCUUUGCUGUCGCUAAAGGAUGAGCUUGCGGACUAUUAGCUUGUUGGUGGGGUAAAGGCCUACCAAGGCGAUGAUGGAUAGCCGGCCUGAGAGGGUGUACGGCCACACUGGAACUUAGACACGGUCCAGACUCCUACGGGAGGCAGCAGUGAGGAAUAUUGCGCAAUGGGCGAAAGCCUGACGCAGCGACGCCGCGUGGGGGAUGAAGGUCUUCGGAUUGUAAACUCCUGUUAAGUGGGAAGAAAGGCUUGCUUUUAAUAGAAGCGAGAGAUGACGGUACCAUUAGAGAAAGCACCGGCUAACUUCGUGCCAGCAGCCGCAGUAAGAC
rnacentral:rRNA from 1 species